ACUUAGCCCCGAUAGGAGUGGAAAGCCCGCAAUCCCGAUUUUCGGGAGCGGACUUGAAACGGAUAGCGGGAGUAAGC
rnacentral:sRNA from 1 species